rnacentral:snRNA from 1 species
GUGCCCGCUUCGGCAGCACAUAUACUAAAAUUGGACCAAUACAGAGAAGAUUAGCAUGGCCCCUGCACAAGGAUGACACACAGAUUCUUGAAACAUUCCAUAAAAUU